rnacentral:rRNA from 1 species
UAAGGAAUAUUGGUCAAUGGACGAAAGUCUGAACCAGCCAUGCCGCGUGAAGGAUGANGGCCCUCUGGGUUGUAAACUUCUUUUAUAGGGGACGAAAAAACGGCAUUCUUGCUGCACUUGACGGUACCCUACGAAUAAGCACCGGCUAACUCCUAUG